UAGGGAAUCUUCCGCAAUGGACGCAAGUCUGACGGAGCAACGCCGCGUGAGUGAAGAAGGAUUUCGGUUCGUAAAACUCUGUUGUUAGAGAAGAACAGCGCAUAGAGUAACUGUUAUGCGUGUGACGGUAUCUAACCAGAAAGCCACGGCUAACUACGUGCCAGCAGCCGCGGUAAUACGUAGGUGGCAAGCGUUGUCCGGAUUUAUUGGGCGUAAAGCGAGCGCAGGCGGUCAAUUAAGUCUGAUGUGAAAGCACCCGGCUCAACCGGGGAGGGUCAUUGGAAACUGGUUGACUUGAGUGCAGAAGAGGAGAGUGGAAUUCCAUGUGUAGCGGUGAAAUGCGUAGAUAUAUGGAGGAACACCGGUGGCGAAAGCGGCUCUCUGGUCUGUAACUGACGCUGAGGCUCGAAAGCGUGGGGAGCGAACAGG
rnacentral:rRNA from 1 species